AAAAAGUUAACUUUCUUUUGUUUUUGACGUCCUCAUUUCUUCUUCUGAAUAGCUAUGAAAGGCAGAACAAUCAAAAUUAAUCUUGAACAUUUACAUAAAAAGAAUGGAACAUUAUCCUGCAAAGCACCUUCUUCCAAAUGAUCAACGGCAGGGAUCUUAUUCACCAUCUGAAGAGCUAAAUAUUAAAUAAGAGCUGCUUAGGAAGUUAGCUGCAGACUGCAGCCUGCAGUAAUGAAGAUGUGUCAUCACAGUAGAAUAAAUGUAAAAGCGUGUUCAUCAGCAAAAUAAGUGCCUUGCAUUAUUUACCACUACUGAACAAUUUUGAGCUGAUGAUACCUGGUAUUAUCGCUUUCCUCAAUCUGCGAAGAAUCUUGGAUGUGAUAGUGUAUCCAUCUUUGGUCCAAUGAAAUGAAAAAAACAAACUCGUUAAGGUAUACCAAGAAAAUGCUAGAAUAUAAUUAGUAUGCAAACCUGUCUAGAAUCCCCAGCCAAUUCAAAAACAUCCGGAAUCCCAGAGACGAAUAAAUGCACUUCACACGUAGAAAUAGGAAAUAAACGUGUAGGAUGGUGUCUUCUUUGACUUCGUCUCAGCAACAGCACGUUGUAGACAAAUGGAAAUCAGUGCACACCAUUCAGCAAUCGAUUACACUUUUGUGUUCCAGCUUUCGACAAUCAUGUAAUUGUGUUCUCUUUCUUUAUUUUCCACCGUCUCUGCCAUUUACAAAAACUCAAGCCACACUAUUCUGCAUAAUUAGGGGAAAAAACAAGGUUAAGAAUAGUCUUUAUUCUUCCCUCUGAUUUUUUCUCAUUCAACCACUGAAGAAUUAAAGACAAAACUUAUCUCUUAGCCGAUGUAAGAUUCAUGUAA